rnacentral:rRNA from 1 species
GAUGAACGCUGGCGGCGUGCUUAACACAUGCAAGUCGAACGAUGAAGCUGGAGCUUGCUCCGGUGGAUUAGUGGCGAACGGGUGAGUAACACGUGAGCAAUCUGCCCUUGACUCUGGGAUAACUGCGGGAAACUGUAGCUAAUACCGGAUACGAGACCUGAAGGCAUCUUCGGGUCUGGAAAGAAUUUCGGUCAAGGAUGAGCUCGCGGCCUAUCAACUUGUUGGUGAGGUAAUGGCUCACCAAGGCGACGACGGGUAGCCGGCCUGAGAGGGUGACCGGCCACACUGGGACUGGGACACGGCCCAGACUCCUACGGUAGGCAGCAGUGGGGAAUAUUGCACAAUGGGCGAAAGCCUGAUGCAGCAACGCCGCGUGAGGGAUGAAGGCCUUCGGGUUGUAAACCUCUUUUAGCAGGGAAGAAGCGAAAGUGACGGUACCUGCAGAAAAAGCACCGGCUAACUACGUGCCAGCAGCCGCCGUAA